UUUAUAACAAGAAAAACUGGCAGCCUCAGAAGUGUUUUACUCGUGUUUCAAAUAUACAAAAAAAAUAGAACGGCAUCGUAGACCAGUUUUAAAUUUGACAGAAGAACUAAUCGAAUAAAUAAAACUAGAACGGUUUUCUGGGGAUACGUUUGUUCCAGUUUCUGUUUUGUUAUAGAUCUUCCAUAUAGAACUUCUAGCUGCUGAGUUUGCUCUUAUAUUACAAUUACUAUCCAUGGUUGAUCAAGGAAAUUUCCAAGGAUUCAAGCAUGUAAACAUAAGCAAACGACGGGAUUUCACUACUAAGGCACAUCCGAUUCUGUUCAUUUCGUUGGAGGAAGGAUUUGGCGGAUCGCACUGUGGAAUCUAUUACAGUUAUCAUGGAUAAUGGAGUGAUUGUGCUGUGGGUGGCAUUUUUUGGCUGGUGAUGAUCUAAAUGAUUCCGAAUUGGAUGGAUAAAAUGUUGCACUUAUUGAUGAUUUUAUUUGAUACACAAUGGAGACCACACGUUGAUUGCUUAACUGAUCGGUUAACCGAUAAUGAAUACAUCUUGGUUUUACAGUUCCUAAUCGAUCAAACAAUAUCUGCCUAUAGCUCUUCAUACUCUUAACGUUCUCACCAAAUAAGUAUUUGGCAAAAAUGAUGUUUUAUUAACACCGCAAGGAGACAUCAAUCCAUCGUGAAACACCGAAGAUGACCAAAUGAAAUAUCAUUUCAGACUACCGAUGUUCAUAUGGAGGUCAUUUGUUCGCUCGAAUUACACCGUCGGUGGAGAAUGUUACCAGUCAAAGUUUGAGAUUCCGAAUGUUUACUGGGUACAUCCGUUCGAGGUUAACUAGGUCCAAAAUAGAAUGACAACCGCACUAACACAUAGAAAAACGUGAUCACCAGGUAUUUUACAUCGUGCAGUUCAUCAUUAUCACCACCAGCUACGAUGGAAUAACGAGACUGCGAAUGAGCAGAGCCCAGCCUAAUUUCAUCAACAGCUGUAGAUCCCAACUAGAACAAUAACAUCCCUCAAUUCAGUCAUAUUCCAUUUCUAGAUUAUCUUUGACUGCGUUACGCGCGCGGGCUCAAACUUUUGUAGACAACUCAUUUUUUUUAUCUAUACCAACUCUAAAAUACUUGUAACAAAAAAAUAUUCAUUAUACAGAUCAUAAUAACUUCUAACAUCUACAAAAAAUAGUGAUAAGUAAAAACACAUUUUUCUUCAUUUUACAUAAUUUUAAAGAAAUCAAUUAUAAUAAAUAUUUUAAAAUCUUUUCAUAAGACAGAUUUUACAUGUGAAAUACAUAAUUGGUUGAACUUAUUUAUAGUUGUAGCACGUUUAAUCUGUCUGGGCAUCGAAUUGAAAAAAAAUAUUCCUUUGUACAGUAGCGAAUUCUGUGAUCUGCCAAAUAGAAAGUUUGAUGUUCUUACAUCUGACGCAUUUAUGGUAUCAUAUCUAUGUAAAUCACUUCCUCUGUCAACUCGAUCACGCAAAAAUCGAGGCAGCAUAGCCAUUGUAAUGCACUCAGCAGAAAAGUAAAGGAAGUGUAUCUAUUACAUUUAAGUAUCAAUCGCAUGACUUUAUUUGCAAUCGCUGUAAUUGCAUGAUUUGUGUACUAUUUGCAAGAAAUAGAAUGGAUGGACAGAAGUCAAUGUGUGGUGAAAUAAUAAAUUUAUACAGAAGAAUUUUACUACUGAUCGUUAAGUCAUUUUUCAAACGACACAAUACUGCGUACUUUUUGGGCAAUAUUCCUGAUUACGUUAUUAAUGUGAGAUUUGAACGUUAACUUUUCAUCAAUUACGACUCCAAGAUACUUCAUCUCUCUAACGCGAACAAUAAUCUCACCAUCUACUUCAACGUUAGCAUCAUGCCUAGUGCUCGCAGAAGUAUUAACAAUGUAUUUCGUCUUUGCGACAUUCAAUUUCAAUUGCUUGAAUUUUAACCAACGUGCUAGAGAAUGUAGAUCUUCGUGCAACAGAUGAUAAGA